UUUCAAAACUUAUUUGUCUUUAUAUUCUCUGCUACAAAUAGAGAAAGCUGAUCUAAAAAUAACAAUCGUUGCAUAAAAGUAUCCCUUAUUUUUUCACAUGAUUCUUCAACUGCUUAUUUUUUUCUCUUUCACAUACACAGGUCUACGAUUUCGCUUUUACACAUAUCGAUCAGUGGCUGCUCAGAAGUUGAAUACUGGUUAAAAAACAUCCUAAAAUAGUUAACUUUUGUUGGAGUCCAACACCACAUGUUUCUUCUCUUUAC
rnacentral:lncRNA from 1 species